ensembl:lncRNA
AUGCACCAUGAACAUAGGAAUCUCCAUAGACCAUUGAGGACACAGUGGUUAAAUUUCAUUUUCCAAGGAAAUGUCCCGGAAAAAAAAAAAAAAAACAGAACAGUCCUAUACGUUUUUGCUAACAAACGUGCUAACAUUUGUGACUGCCUCACAAACAAGGGUCAGUUCAGUGCUGGAGUUUUGCAAAUAUUGCUUCUGAAAGAAGGAUCGAUACCAACGCUUUGUGCGCUAAUGUCCAGACUCCAGACAAAGGACCCAAAUCCCUCAGGAGCCACCUGGAGUAAAGACAGCGGUUGUGACAGCUGCAGAUAUUGAUCCAGCAACCUUCUGCUGACCAGUCCAGUUCACAACACCACAAAAAUAUUAAGAUUUAUCAAAAAAUAGCAUGCAAUUGUAAAUAUGAAAUUAAAUUUAGCAAUUCAAUUUAGACCUAAUGACAUCAUUAUCACUUUGCAGAGCUGAUUGGUUUUCUCCUGUAUCAGUAGCAAAUGAGCUCACUGCUCAAUAUUCAACUACCUGGCUUUUUUUGCUGUAGCAGUCGGCAGUGCACUUCAGAAACCCUCCACCGUCCCCAGCUCCACCUGUAUAGAGCUGCUACAAGGUGAUUCAUGUGUGCUAUGCCGUUAUUCAUAUGUGUUCUAUGUGCCGCAGCAGUAUUUCCUACAUGCUCACAGCAGCAUGUUGUGUAUGUAUUGGCAGUAGCAAGUCUCGGUACUUGCUCCACUGUAGCAUCUUAGCAGUCGGCAGUGCACUUCAGAAACCCUCCACCGUCCCCAGCUCCACCUGUAUAGCAUGUACGAUCGUUUGGGCUUUACGUUUUAGGGAUUCCUUUAGCCUUUUGACAUUUGCAUAUAAAUUACAGAAUCUGGCUCCACGCUAUACAUUUAUAUGAGUGCUUAAUGGCAAUGUUUACCCCCCAUUAUCUGGAAGAUACUGAGCAGACCAACUCUUGGGUCUCCCCAUCCAACUUCAAAAACAUUCCGAGAUAAAUAGAUAGCCAUCGAUGCCAGACACCAAAUGGCCCUGGCUGAUCAGCCAGCUCACAUUCUCACAACACACACACACACACACACACAAACACAUUUAUUCAUUUAGACUAUAAUUAAUUAGUUACAAAUGUAUCUGGUAUAUGCAUGUAUUGUUUGUAUGUUUCACUAUUGUAGUAGCCUAGUUACAAUUCUUUAUUUGUAUUAGUUAGACUCUCAGUGCUUAUAUUCAGGUAUAUGAGUGUAUUUCUGCUUUAAGAUCUCCUACAUGUUGUGUUCUUAGUAUCAAAAUGAUCUGCUUUUUAUUCCUCAAACAAUUAUGUACACUAUGUGAUCCUAAUAUGCAUCAUACUAUUUGUACCAUAGUUUGGGUAAAACUGAACAAAUUCUCUAGACUAGCAAUAAACAUGCCAAUGGGCCAUAAACUGGAGACA